rnacentral:rRNA from 1 species
CCUACGGGAGGCAGCAGUAGGGAAUAUUGCUCAAUGGGGGAAACCCUGAAGCAGCAACGCCGCGUGGAGGAUGAAGGUUUUCGGAUUGUAAACUCCUUUUGUUAGAGAAGAUAAUGACGGUAUCUAACGAAUAAGCACCGGCUAACUCCGUGACAGCAGCCGCGGUACUACGGAGGGUGCAAGCGUUACUCGGAAUCACUGGGCGUAAAGAGCGCGUAGGCGGGAUAGCAAGUCAGAUGUGAAAUCCUGUGGCUUAACCAUAGAACUGCAUUUGAAACUGUUAUUCUAGAGUAUGGGAGAGGUAGGUGGAAUUCGUGGUGUAGGGGUAAAAUCCGUAGAGAUCAAGAGGAACACUCAUUGCGAAGGCGACCUGCUAGAACAUAACUGACGCUGAUGCGCGAAAGCGUGGGGAGCAAACAGGAUUAGAUACCCCAGUAGUC